rnacentral:hammerhead_ribozyme from 1 species
AUCCAGCUGACGAGUCCCAAAUAGGACGAAAUGCGCUCUAUCCUGGAU